rnacentral:ncRNA from 1 species
CCAACCUUUUUAACACAAGGUCUUGGUCUUAAACCUCUUAUUAUCUAAGCUCUAUAAUUAUACAUGCAAGCCUCAACACGACAGUGAAAAAGCCCACCACAACGCCUAACGGAGCCGGUAUCAGGCUAAACACCCAUAACACCAAGCUAUCCAAGCCACACCCCCACGGGCACGCAGCAGUAAUUAAUAUUAGGCCAUAAGUGUAAACUUGACCCAAUAACAGGAGCCCCAGGGCCGGUUAAUCUCGUGCCAGCGACCGCGGUUACACGACAGACCCAAGAUAAUACACCCGGCGUAAAGCACGACUAAAACCAAAAAGUUACCCGGUUAAGGAUAAAGACUCACCAGGCUGUAAAAAGCCAUAAGCCACACUAAACACACACCCUAACCCUUAAACAACUUUAACUCGUGAAAGCCAGGACACAAACUAAGAUUAGAUACCUUACUAUGCCAGGCCAUAACAAGACAAUUAAAUAACAAAUUGUUCGCCAAAUAACUACGAGUAAAAACUUAAAAUUUAAAAGACUUGACGGUACUUCACACCAACCUAGAGGAGCCUGUCCCAUAACCGAUAAUCCACGAUUAACCCAACCAGCUAUAGCCCAACAGUCUAUAUACCGCCGUCGCCAGCUUACCUUGUAAAAGAAACAAAGUAAGCCCAAUAACACCCAUUAACACGACAGGUCAAGGUGUAACUAAUGAGCUGGGCCAAGAUGGGCUACAUUUUCUUUUUUAAAUCAGAAAAAACGAACAGACUAUGAAACUAGAAACUGAAGGAGGAUUUAGCAGUAAGAUAGCAAUAGACAUACCUAACUGAAACCAACGCAAUGAAGUGCGUACACACCGCCCGUCAUCCCUGUAAAACACAUAAACCUUAUCCAUAAACACCACCACACAAUAAAGCAGGGCAAGUCGUAACAUGGUAAGCGUACUGAAA